rnacentral:rRNA from 1 species
CAUUCGAGUGGCGGACGGGUGAGUAACGCGUGGGUAACCUGCCUUACACAGGGGGAUAACACUUGGAAACAGGUGCUAAUACCGCAUAAGCGCACAGGGCCGCAUGGCCCGGUGUGAAAAACUCCGGUGGUGUAAGAUGGACCCGCGUCUGAUUAGCUUGUUGGCGGGGUAGGGGCCCACCAAGGCGACGAUCAGUAGCCGGCCUGAGAGGGUGGACGGCCACAUUGGGACUGAGACACGGCCCAAACUCCUACGGGAGGCAGCAG